rnacentral:lncRNA from 1 species
AGAGAGCGAGAGAGAGACAGAGAGAGGAGCAUCGGCUCACCAAGAAGGCCUGUCCUGGUCCCAGGGGCCACAGCGGGAUGGCCCCUACCAACCUGGCCCAGCCGACUUGUUGGAGAGGCAGGAUUUCGUCAUGUUGCCUAGGCUGGCCUCAAACUCCUGGACUCAAGUGAUCUGCCCAUCUUGGCCUCGUAAAGUGCUGGGAUUACGGCUGUGAGCCACCAUUCCUGGCCUUAUUUUGUGUCCAGCUUCUCUCACUCAGCGCCACGUUUCCAAGGCUCACCUACGUUCUAGCCUGGAUCCGAGCUUCAUUCCGUUUUAUGGCUGCGUAGUAUUCCACUGCAUGGGUGGAGCACGUUUUCUUUAUCCAGUCAUCGGUAAUGGACAUGCGGGCUGUUGCACAGAAGGAUCCUUUUUAUUUUCUCCCUAGCUUUGCUGAGGCAUCAUUGACAAAUAGAAAUUACAUCUAUUUAAGGUUACAUGAUAUUUUGAUAUCCAUUAUGUGUUGUGAAGUGAUUACCACAACCAAGCUAACAACACAUCCAACACCUCACCUAGACACCUUUCUGGUGUGUGUGGUGAGAACACUUGAGUCUAAUUCCUCAGCAAGUUUCAAGAAAACAGUAUGCUAUAAUAAUUAUUAUUAUUUUGAGACGGAGUCUCGCUCUGUCACCCAUGCUGGAGUGCAGUGGCGCAAUCUUGGCUCACUGCAACUUCUCCCUCCCAGUUCAAGCAAUUCUCGUGCCUCAGCCUCCUAAGUGGCCGGGGCUACGGGUGGGCACCACCGUGCCUGGUUAAUUUUUGUAUUUUUAGUAGAGAUGGAGUCUCAUGUUGCCCAGGCUGGUCUCAAACUCUUGAGCUCAAGCAAUCUGCCUGCCUCGGCCUCCCAAAGUGCUGCGAUUAUAGGUAUGAGCCGCCACACCUGGCCUGCUAUUAUUAAUUAUAGUCACCAUGCUGUACCUUA